CAUCUGCUAUCAGAUGCGUCGAUGGUGCAUGAGAGUUAGGCUCAUGGUUUCGAGAUAGUGAAAAUCCCCAUAG
ncrna:unclassified sequences RAGATH-16 RNA